UCGAGGAUCUUCGGCAAUGAGCGAAAGCUUGACCGAGCGACGCCGCGUGCGGGAUGAAGGCCUUCGGGUUGUAAACCGCUUUCGUAGGGGAGGAAAUUUCGGUGGGAUCACUCAUCGAUUUGACCUAGCCUAGGAAGAAGGACGGGCUAAGUUCGUGCCAGCAGCCGCGGUAAUACGAACCGUCCAAACGCUAUUCGGCAUUACUGGUCUUAAAGGGUGCGUAGGCGGCCCGGGAAGUUGGGUGUGAAAGCCCUCGGCUCAACCGAGGAACUGCUGCCAAAACUGCCGGGCUGGAGGGAGAUAGAGGUGAGCGGAACUUAGGGUGGAGCGGUGAAAUGCGUUGAUAUCCUAAGGAACACCGGUGGCGAAAGCGGCUCACUGGGUCUCUUCUGACGCUGAGGCACGAAAGCUAGGGUAGCGAACGG
rnacentral:rRNA from 1 species